rnacentral:rRNA from 1 species
UACGGGGGGGGCAAGCGUUGUUCGGAAUUACUGGGCGUAAAGGGCGCGUAGGCGGCCUGCUAAGUCGGAUGUGAAAUCCCAUGGCUCAACCAUGGAAGUGCACCCGAAACUGCGUCGCUAGAGUCCUGGAGAGGAAGGUGGAAUGCUUGGUGUAGAGGUGAAAUUCGUAGAUAUCAAGCGGAACACCGGUGGCGAAGGCGGCCUUCUGGACAGUGACUGACGCUGAGACGCGAAAGCGUGGGGAGCAAACAGG